AGAAUUGAAAAAGGGUAGUGUGCA
rnacentral:siRNA from 1 species